rfam:Mycobacterium terrae strain CIP 104321 contig_29, whole genome shotgun sequence.
GGCGGUCUUCGGUAGUGGCAGCCGGGUCUGAGAGUUCCAAGAUCCGGCCGCUUCGAUCGACGACCGUA